GACGAACCGUGCGAACGUUGUUCGGAAUCACUGGGCAUAAAGGGCGCGUAGGCGGCUUAUCAAGUCAGGGGUGAAAUCCGGCAGCUCAACUGUCGAAGUGCCUUUGAUACUGAUGAGCUCGAGGGAGGUAGGGGUCUGUGGAACUUCCGGUGGAGCGGUGAAAUGCGUUGAUAUCGGAAGGAACGCCGGUGGCGAAAGCGACAGACUGGAUCUCUUCCGACGCUGAGGCGCGAAAGCCAGGGGAGCAAACGGG
rnacentral:rRNA from 1 species